rnacentral:sRNA from 1 species
GCUGGGCACAGUGGCACAUGCCUGUAAUCCCAACUACUCAGGAGGCUGAGACAGGAGGAUCACAAGUUUGAGUAACUUUGUGAGACCCUGUCUUAG